rnacentral:lncRNA from 1 species
GGCAACGGCCAGCCUUUGAUGAGAUUAGGUCCUGGCUGAUGGAGAGGCACAAGCUGCAAGCCCCCUCAACAUCUCUCUGUCUCCACAGGACACUGACAGAACUUCUCAAGCAGCCAGGUCCCCAAGAACCACUGCCUCCGCCUCUGGGUCCACCCUUGGGUAACUGCGUCCAGGUACAAAUGGGUGACGGUGUUCUCCGGGGUUCCCCCCACAACAGCACAGACAAGAAACGCCUCAAUAAUGCGCCUCUGGGGUCCGCCACACCGGGACCCCCGCGCGGCCCGAGGCUGCAGGGUGGUGGCAGCCUGACGUUGCAGCCUGACUAUGCCAAGUUCGCUACCCUCAAAGCAGCUGCGCUCAAGGCUACAGAGGUUGCACCCCAGGACUUCUAUCAACGUUUUCCCUCUACGGAGACGGGCCCGCGGACCCUCCCUGCGCGGGUCCCGCGGCCUCCGGAGGACUUGCCUGCGUUGCUCGACGCCUGUCCCUGGGCCCCUCCGGGUUACGUACCUCCGGCCGGUCCUGUCUCGUCGGUCCCUUAUGCCGCCUGGACCGCGGGCCGCCCCGCGAGGCCGCUCCCCCGUAGCCACUUGGUGGCUCAGGUCUCCCCAGCUCCCCGGCGGCCCAACCACGCGCCACGGCGCCAGUUCAGCGUGGAGAAGCUGCCCGAGGCCUUCAGCGCGCAGCAGGCGAGCUUUUACAGCAGCGCGGGCAGAGGACCCCGGCACCUGAGCACCAACAGCAAAGCCGAGGUCACGGUCUAGAAUGGAACCAUUGGAGCCUUCUGCAGGGUCCUGGGCCCCAGGUCGUGAAAUUGCACUGCAGGCUUGAAUCCAAGCAGGAACAAGGACAUUCAGAGCCUGUGGCUAAAGGGCCAAAAGGGUAGGGCCAGGUGUUCUGUCCUUGGGAAUGUAGGGCUAUCCUUACCUGUGUAAAUAAACCCUCUAAUGUGGUUCCUGUCCCAAGGGGAUCGAUCAUCAGUCAUUGACUGGGCAGACAGCAGUGCAA